UAGAGUUUGAUCAUGGCUCAGAUUGAACGCUGGCGGUAUGCUUAACACACGCAAGUCGAACGGAAACGAUACUAGCUUGCUAGUAGGCGUCGAGUGGCGGACGGGUGAGUAACGCGUAGGAAUCUACCUAAUAGUGGGGGAUAGCCCGGAGAAAUCCGGAUUAAUACCGCAUAAUCUCUAUGGAGUAAAGGGGCCCUCUUCUUGAAAGGUUUCGCUAUCAGAUGAGCCUGCGUAAGAUUAGCUAGUUGGUGAGGUAAAAGCUCACCAAGGCGACGAUCUUUAGCUGGUCUGAGAGGAUGAUCAGCCACACUGGGACUGAGACACGGCCCAGACUCCUACGGGAGGCAGCAGUGGGGAAUAUUGGACAAUGGGGGCAACCCUGAUCCAGCAAUACGUGCGUGUGUGAAGAAGGCCUGAGGGUUGUAAAGCACUUUGUAAUUGUGUAGAAAAGUUAAUAGUUAAUAACCUAUUA
rnacentral:rRNA from 1 species